AUGGGAAAAUUCAAUCUCUCCCACAGAGUUGUUAUGGCACCACUGACUAGAACAAGAUCAUACAACAACGUUCCACAACCUCAUGCUAUUCUCUAUUACUCUCAGAGAGCAUCUAAAGGUGGUCUUCUCAUAGCAGAAGCUACUGGUGUUUCUGACACUGCUCAAGGCUAUCCAGAUACACCAGCUUUGGCAUGUUGGAAGAGUUUCAAAUUCAAUUUAUCAGCCGAAUGGACAAGCCCCGAUAUCUUCGACUGA
rnacentral:lncRNA from 1 species